GCCACUCGGCUGGGGACCUGAUCUGCACAAAUGUGUAGCCAAACCAUGUGGGCUCCCAGGACAGUCCAUUCUUCUAAGCAAAUCUGACUUUGGGCAAGAAAAUCUCACACCAGGCUCCCUGCCCUUUGCCCAGGGUGAGGUGGACAGGCACCUCGUCCAAUCUAGGUUUUUCCCAAGGCCUUCCAUGCUCCCAUGCCAACUGUUUGCUAAGUGUUCUCCAGUCUCUACAACAGAGGGCCAAGGGUUCCCCAGUUUGGUACCUGGUGACACACAUGUGCACUAACCCACAGGGGUGGGACCUGGGUGACCUCAGGAGGCUGCUCCCUUUCCCGUGAAAAGAGGAGUGACAGGCCUGGGACAGUGGCUGGCUGGGCCGAAGACCCCUGAGGGAUUCUAUCUGAAGAAAGGGACACAGUUGAGCCAGCUAGGAUUUCCCCACAUGUGGGGGUCGGAGUGCUCCCUCACCAGGCCUGGCCGCAGCUCUGUGGUCUGUGGUGCCUCCAGGGGACCCUGACGCUACUUUCCUGAUGACGUGGCUGCUGAGAGCCAGAGCAAGAGUUUAAAAAGGAAGCCAGUUCUAAAUGAUCGUAAUGGUCCAACAGCCCCUGUCCCCUUCCCAAGCUGGAGUCCUGAGAACCAGGCCUUAGGCCCAGUGGACCAGCAACAGGCCAGCAAAAGGUGAAGGACAUGGUGCCCUUGUCUGAUGCCUCAGGACAGCCCUCAGCAGGCUGUGAGUGGGUACUUGACACACAGGGAGCCUUCACCCAGGAAAAUCAAUGCAUGCAGCACAAGACGGCAGGGCGUAAACAUUCCAGAGAGAGGUGCUGGCAAAAGCACUCCCCAGUUGGAACCAGGGGAGAGUGGCAAUUGGAGAAGGCAGAACAGGCCACCAGCAAGCCGCCCAUUAGCUUAACCAGAGCUGGUGGCCUCGGCUGACCUGCAUCAGCAAUGCCUUCGAGACCCCCAAGGCCACUUACACAGACAGCUGCUUGGCUGGCCUCUGGGCAAAGGCCCAUCAGGCUUUAGUGCCCAGACUUGCAGAGCAGCAUCUCCCCAACAGUCCCACCCGGCUGGGUCGGGCAGAAGGUCCCCUCAGAUUGAUAUGUCAGUUACAUAUUGUAGCAUUAAUUACACUACACUCCUCUUUCAGUUACAGCCUGCACCAGGAUCUACUACAAUUGCUUCCU